CCUACGGGAGGCAGCAGUAGGGAAUUUUCGUCAAUGGGCGCAAGCCUGAACGAGCGAUGCCGCGUGAGUGAAGAAGGCCUUCGGGUCGUAAAGCUCUGUUGCGGGGGAAAAAAGGCAGCAUCAGGAAAUGGGUGCUGACUGAUGGUGCACCGCCAGAAAGUCCCGGCUAACUCCGUGCCAGCAGCCGCGGUAAUACGUAGGGGGCGAGCGUUAUCCGGUAUGAUUGGGCGUAAAGGGUGCGCAGGCGGUCCUGCAAGUCUGGAGUGAAACGCAUGAGCUCAACUCAUGCAUGGACGUGGAAACUGGAGGACUGGAGAGCAGGAGAGGGCGGUGGAACGCGAGGUGUAGCGGUAAAAUGCGUAGAUAUAGGGAAGAACACCAGUGGCGAAGGCGGCCGCCUGGCCUGUUGCUGACGCUGAGGCACGAAAGCGUGGGGAGCAAAGAGGAUUAGAUACCCUUGUAGUC
rnacentral:rRNA from 1 species